UCAAAAGUUAACGCAGUAUUUUUUUUCUCCAUGUCCUCGCCCGUGGAUAUUAAGGAAGGCUUCUAUUACAGGACAUAGUUCUGAGCAUUCUGGAACGUUCCGAUGCUAGGUGAAGCUGCCAGCACAGAGCUCUGCCCCUUUGGGCAGGAAAGGGAGGCGGGGGUUGGAAACAGAAACUGCCCUAAAUCAUAGCCAAUGCGAUUUCAUUCCAGAAAAGACACGUUUUGGAGGACGCAGGAUUCCGACUUCUGGCACCUGCACUUGCCUGUGUCAGAAACCCCUCCUCCAUGACCCCCAUCCUUCCUACACAGUAAAUGCUGAUGGACUUAAGUCAUCUCUGAGACAACACUGAGUCAUCAGAGUUUAAAGAGAAAUGCAGGAGUGUCGCGUAGAACACUGAGCAUUCUCUGAAGAAAAACGGCCCUAGAUCCGUGGCAGAUGUUUCAUGACUUCUCAAAAGGAUGUGGACUUAUUUUAUAAAUGGAAGAAUUUUUUAAUCAAGUCAUAAGACGGGAUGUAUAAACUCCAUUAUUGAUUACAUGCUCGUAGGAUUAGACUUCCUUCCUUCCCUCAGGUUUCUGUGGGGUAAUUUAAUCUAAACUCUUACUUUGUAUUUUUUUUUCUUUUAUUACUUCAUAUGACAGUACAUUGUUGGAGGCACAAGUUGAAUAGCAUAAUUGUUUUUUCUUCCCAAGACAAAAAAAAAAUGGGCUUUUUGUUCAAGCAGGUAAUAAU